CACCGCAGUGUCACUUUGGGUUGCGUUUCUCCAAAAGUUGAUUCUGUUUCAACUUUUUGCUGCAGGGCUGCUGCAGUUUUUUUUUCGGCAUCUGGAAGACUGCCGUUUUCUCUGCAGCUCCUGAUUUGGUGUGAAUUCCACUUUAGACUGCUCCUUGACUCCAUCUCACUAGCCUUUUGUUUUGUUCUGUCACUUGUUUUUUCCCUGUUUUGUUGAGAACAGCAAGAAUUGUGUGUUUCUGUCACACCACUUCUCCUCCUUGUCUUUAUCUCACUUUCUAUCCCUCUCAGAUUGGCUGUUUGUUUCAGUAUUUCUCUUCCUGUUCCUCUGAUUCUGAGAACCAGUGGAAUACUGAGAGGAUUUAGCUCUAAGUCUCUCUCUCUCCCUCUUUUUUGCUCUCUCUCUCCCUCCCAUCCUCAGUCUGUCUCCUGGUUUCUCUCUCUCUCUCUCUCUCUCUUUUUGAGGAUAAAGGGAUUAACAUGAACAUUCCUGCCAGAUAAUAAGAAAGGACAAAGCUGGUCACAUGACCCCCCAAAAGUUUCCACUACCCUGCUGUAAACAUCAUCACAUCACCACAUACACACACACACAGACACACAAACGUUAAUUAAGAGAAAAUAGGAUGAAUCACGAUGUUUAUUAUUACUAAUACUGAAGCAGGCAUGUCUUAAUUGUCAAAAUUAAAUCAUAGGUAAUGAAGCAUUUUAAUGGCUAUGGCUCAAGUCAAGUCAAUUUUAUUUAUAUAGCCCAAUAUCACAAAUCACAGUUUGCCUAAGGGGUCAAUCUGUACAUCAUACAACACCCUGUGCCCUCAGACCCUCGAUUCAGAUAAGGAAAAACUCCCCCAAAAAACCUUUUAACUGGGUAAAAAAUUGAAGAAACCUCAGGAAGAGCAGCAGAGGUAUCCUUCUCCCGCACUCUUAUUUGGUAAACUUAAUGGGUUUCUGGUCAGAUUUCUUUCCGGAAUUAAUUUUCUAGUGGACUGGUAAGUAACACUUAACCAGCAAAGGGAUGCAUGAUUAUAAAAAGAGAAACCAGCUGCUCAAACCCUGUAGAGUCUUGGCAAAUGGUUGAUGUGUGCUGCCUAUAUUGCAGGUACAGUCUGACACUUAAUAUUUUCUGGUCAAACAUACACCAAGUGAAAUACAUAAGUGAACCGCACAUAAUAGGUCAUGAGGGAAAACCUGAACAGGGAAUUUAAUCUGGAGAACUAGGCCCAUGUCAAAUGAUAAAGUGAAUCCAAUAUAGAUUGUAGUGUUGUCUGUCCAUAAGCUGCCACCAGCUCCUUUGUGUUUUUGAUGGAUACACCUUGUAGAGCCAACACUGUCAUUGUUCAAGCUGUAAUUGAAAGAUUCCUGGUGAGGGUUUUGUGAAAGCUAUUUGUUAAGCCGUGUGUGUGUGUGUGUGUGUGUGUGUGUGUGUGUGUGAGCUAGUGUAUGUGUGUCUGUGAGUGAGUGUUUUAGGCAGCCAUGUGUUGUAUGCUAAUCUUUGUUUUAGCAAUGGUUGUGACCAGCAGAUAACUGAGCAUCACAAUCGCCAGCUGGUCACCAGAAAGGGGAAACUUUGCAGGGCUGGGUAUGAACCAAAGUGUGUGAGUGAAUAGUGUGUGUAUUUCCAGUGAAUUGGUCAGACAUAGAUUGAGGUUGAUUUUGAUAGUAAUCACUCUUAAGCAGCUUGUCUGAGUCCUGGUUUCCAGGACAACAAAAUUGUUUGUUUACAUAAUUCAUGGAUAGAGCUUAUUGUCAGUGGAAGAGUGGGAGACUGGACAGCUCCAAUACCCACAUUUGACAUAUGCACUUUGGGGAUAAAUGGUUGAGAAGAGUCCAGAUGAGUAUAAACCACCAUCACCUCUGUUGUUUUUUUUAAGCUGAAGCCAACAUAGGGUAACAAUUCAGUGAUAUUAUAUAGAGGACGGUAGUCAGUACAUGCGCGUAGAGAACCAUAAUUUAUACAAAGAAGAAACCUGCUCCAGCUGGUGAAGUGGCUGGAUGCAUAACCCCCAUGAUGAGAGCCUCUUUGAUGUAUUCCUCCAUGGCAGCUGACAGUCUCUGGAGUGGGGAGGGAGCAGAGAUGACCCAGAGAUAGACAAGCACCAGUGAGGAGAUCUGUUGUCAAACAGUCAGUGUGAUGACGGGGCCAAUGAUUGAACACAGCCUUGGCCAAGGAGGGAGCUGCUGCAGAGUGGGGGUGGACUACACUGCUGUCUAAACAGAGCUUCUUUCUCACUCAAUUUCUCAUCCUUUUCUCACAUGUUCUCUCUCCUGAACCACCAUUUUCUUUUUUAUUUCAUCUUCCUACCUCUUCUUUCUUCUUGAUCCAAACAAUUUUUCUUCCUUUCAGUCUUUAUCUUUCCCUUUUUCUCUCAUGUGCACACACACUAUCUCAAUUUUGUCCUGUUUCUUAUUCCUUUUUCUCUUUCCAUUUGUCACUCUUUCAAAACAUGCCCUGGCCCUUGACUAAUCAAAUUGACAGGCCAAUAAAUCAGAAAUCAAUCU